UACGAAGGGGGCUAGCGUUGUUCGGAAUCACUGGGCGUAAAGGGCGCGUAGGCGGCUGUUCAAGUCGGGGGUGAAAUCCCGUGGCUCAACCACGGAAUAGCCUUCGAUACUGGACGGCUAGAGACCGGAAGAGGUGAGUGGAACUGCGAGUGUAGAGGUGAAAAUUCGUAGAUAUUCGCAAGAACACCAGUGGCGAAGGCGGCUCACUGGUCCGGUUCUGACGCUGAGGCGCGAAAGCGUGGGGAGCAAACAGG
rnacentral:rRNA from 1 species